rnacentral:rRNA from 1 species
UACGAAGGGGGCUAGCGUUGUUCGGAAUUACUGGGCGUAAAGGGCGCGUAGGCGGCGCAUCAAGUCAGGCGUGAAAGCCCUGGGCUCAACCCGGGAAUUGCGCUUGAGACUGGUGUGCUCGAGUACGGGAGAGGAUAGUGGAAUUCCCAGUGUAGAGGUGAAAUUCGUAGAUAUUGGGAAGAACACCAGUGGCGAAGGCGGCUAUCUGGACCGUAACUGACGCUGAGGCGCGAAAGCGUGGGGAGCAAACAGG